rnacentral:rRNA from 1 species
UACAGAGGUCUCAAGCGUUGUUCGGAAUCACUGGGCGUAAAGGGUGCGUAGGCCGCACGGUAAGUCAGAGGUGAAAUCCCGGAGCUCAACUCCGGAAUUGCCUCCGAUACUGCCGUGCUUGAGGACUGGAGAGGAGAUUGGAAUUCACAGUGGAGCAGUGAAAUGCGUAGAUAUUGUGAGGAACACCGGUGGCGAAGGCGGGUCUCUGGGCCGAUACUGACGCUGAGGAGCGAAAGCGUGGGGAGCGAACAGG